GGCGGCGCUUCUACAAGCUCUUGCAACCCGCUCCACCGGAAAACCAACCAGAAUUCGGAUCUCCGGCAUCCCAUCUCCGAUGCUCGGGAACUGUCCAGCGACGGGUAACCGACUGGCCGAGUUCGCUAAACUUCUGGAACUAAACUUCGAAUUCGAUCCAAUUCUCACUCCAAUUGAAGAACUGAACGUAUCAUCCUUCCGAAUCGACACUGACGAAACCCUCGCCGUGAAUUUCAUGCUUCAAUUGUACAAUCUCCUCGACGAACCUCCUCGCGCCGUUCUCAAAGUUCUGCAACUAGCCAAAUCACU
rnacentral:misc_RNA from 1 species